GCAGAUUAGGAACUGAAUUUUCUCUCACAUCUAGAAAGAAGACAUCCACAUCUGUGACUACCAGUCCUUAGACAAUUUUUCUGUAUUUACAGGAUUCAACAAGAAAAUGAGGUGUUCAGCCUGUGGUCCUUGCCACUCCUUGUCUGAGUACUUUUGGCCCCAGUUUUGCUUUCUGCAGGCAGCAGAGCCUCAGCUGGCCCCUUGGCCACUUUUUACUCCUGCUGUUGUAUUUGCCUGUGGUAUUUUCUCAGAAGACGCUGGAAAAGAGGAAAACAGGCUUCGUAUGGUACCUGUAAUUGAAGAGGAGAAAUCUGAGAUUUCUGCAGGCAUUUAAGGACAUAUGUAUAGGAUUUAGCAGUGCUAUUGCCCUGUAAGUGUUCAUAUACAGCAGAGUGGUUGGAGAAGUCCUUGAAGACCCUGAUCCAAUGCUCACCAAGGAAAUUUGCUCUCAUGGCAUGGAUAUGGUUUCAAGCCAGGCAGACCCAUCCUGGAGCUUUCCCUGCUUGCUCAAAAGGCUGCUUGAAAUUCUUGCCAUUAACUGUCCAUACCGGUGCUACUUGGUACAGCUCUGUCAUUUCUUCAAGGUGUGAGUUCCUCUUAUUUUUUCCUUAAAAAUAUGUUUAUUACUGAAUUGUAGAGAACAGAUUUGUAUUGUUAUUUGGGGUCUAACGCCACCAAUUUCCUUGGUGCGACAUUAGCAGGGGGUUAAGCACUCUGGCUCAUUUUUCUCAGGAUAACUUUAAAGCUCUGGUGGAGAUGAAGAGGUGAAGGCAGUUAGCAUCCACGCUGCUCACACAAAAGACUUCAGAUCUCAUCAAGUUGAACUGCUCACUCUUCAAAAGAGUAGCCCUUAAAAUGAUUUGGAACUGACCUUCUUUCCCUGAGAAAUUUCUUCUGACAAAACAGGUAUAUGUGAUACAGAAAAAUACAGUUAUUCAUUACCAACUGGUAGCUCCUCAUUGCCAGAUUACCUUUAAUUCACAAGCUAAACCAGAACAGGGAGCACACCUUGUUUUUCUCCCUCUCUGUGUUUUGGAUGUUAAAUUGUUGACUUUCUCUGAUAUCAGCAGGCAUGUAAAAGGUGGUUACAGAAGACAGAAAAGCAGUGUUACCUCAGGACUUUUUGCUCACAGGCAGAGUAGUUGGUAGGUUGGCCAAAACUGUCUUCACUCCUCAAAGGAAAAUGUAUUAAAAGAGAAAUGCAGCCCUUGCAUAUUGCCAGUGCUGUUCUGCUUGGAGAGAAAACUCCAUCAGUGCAACUCCCAUAAAGACAGAUCUCUGCCAAAUAUAAUUUGGAGAUGCUGUGGGACUUGGGAAUUGGCCCCUCAUUAGAGAUACAGAGAUUUCUCUCUAGAAGGGCAGUUUUCCAGCCUAUGAAAAUUAAUGGGAGAUGUACAUGUAUAUGUGGGUAGAUUUCAGCUCCCAAACAUACUACAAGGUGGGCCAAUCCACCAAAUUGCACUGAAUGUUGUUUCAUCACUCCAGAGGCUUCCUGCCUGGUGCCAAAUAUUUGCAGUUUGAACAUCUAUUAUACUAUUAGUGCUGCAGUGUAUCAACAGAUAACUCAGAUACAAUAUAGAAGAUAUAAUUCUCAAUAUUGUCCACUGAUUUUAAAUAUGUGUUUUUUGUUGUUGUUGUUGUUUUUUUUCUUUUAAAUAUACACAAGUAAAGAUAACUAAACAGGAUAAGUUGAGCAAUUUUUAUAAUGUCAUUUGGUUGAUGCUUCAAAGAAAAGCUAAUGCCAAUGCCUCUCUAAAUUGCAAUUGGUAAAACUUUACAAGAACUAAAAAUUAAUAUUCUAGAAAGUACAGACAAAAAUAAAAUAUGAGAACUAUAAAAUCA
rnacentral:lncRNA from 1 species